rnacentral:rRNA from 1 species
UCCUACGGGAGGCAGCAGUGGGGAAUCUUAGACAAUGGGGGCAACCCUGAUCUAGCCAUGCCGCGUGAGUGAUGAAGGCCUUAGGGUCGUAAAGCUCUUUCGCCUGUGAUGAUAAUGACAGUAGCAGGUAAAGAAACCCCGGCUAACUCCGUGCCAGCAGCCGCGGUAAUACGGAGGGGGUUAGCGUUGUUCGGAAUUACUGGGCGUAAAGCGCGCGUAGGCGGAUUAGAAAGUUGGGGGUGAAAUCCCGGGGCUCAACCCCGGAACUGCCUCCAAAACUGCUAGUCUAGAGUUCGAGAGAGGUGAGUGGAAUUCCGAGUGUAGAGGUGAAAUUCGUAGAUAUUCGGAGGAACACCAGUGGCGAAGGCGGCUCACUGGCUCGAUACUGACGCUGAGGUGCGAAAGUGUGGGGAGCAAACAGGAUUAGAUACCCUGGUAGUCCACACCGUAAACGAUGAAUGCCAGUCGUCGGAUAGUAUACUAUUCGGUGACACACCUAACGGAUUAAGCAUUCCGCCUGGGGAGUACGGUCGCAAGAUUAAAACUCAAAUGAAUUGACGGA